UGACCAUGGACUGAUAGAGGCG
rnacentral:miRNA from 1 species